rnacentral:rRNA from 1 species
AUUGAACGCUGGCGGCAGGCCUAACACAUGCAAGUCGAGCGGAUGAAGGGAGCUUGCUCCUGGAUUCAGCGGCGGACGGGUGAGUAAUGCCUAGGAAUCUGCCUGGUAGUGGGGGAUAACGUCCGGAAACGGGCGCUAAUACCGCAUACGUCCUGAGGGGGAAAGUGGGGGAUCUUCGGACCUCACGCUAUCAGAUGAGCCUAGGUCGGAUUAGCUAGUUGGUGGGGUAAAGGCCUACCAAGGCGACGAUCCGUAACUGGUCUGAGAGGAUGAUCAGUCACACUGGAACUGAGACACGGUCCAGACUCCUACGGGAGGCAGCAGUGGGGAAUAUUGGACAAUGGGCGAAAGCCUGAUCCAGCCAUGCCGCGGGUGUGAAGAAGGUCUUCGGAUUGUAAAGCACUUUAAGUUGGGAGGAAGGGCAGUAAGUUAAUACCUUGCUGUUUUGACGUUACCAACAGAAUAAGCACCGGCUAACUUCGUG